rnacentral:rRNA from 1 species
GACGAACGCUGGAGGCGUGCUUAACACAUGCAAGUCGAACGAUGAAAUGGAGCUUGCUCCAUGGAUUAGUGGCGAACGGGUGAGUAACACGUGAAUAACCUGCCCUUAACCCUGGAAUAACCCAGGGAAACCUGGGCUAAUACCGGAUAAGUAAACCUGUGGCAUCACAUGGUUUUGGAAAGUUUUUCGAUUAAGGAUGGAUUCGCGGCCUAUCAGCUUGUUGGUGAGGUAAUGGCUCACCAAGGCGACGACGGGUAGCCGGCCUGAGAGGGGGAACGGCCACACUGGGACUGAGACACGGCCCAGACUCCUACGGGAGGCAGCAGUGGGGAAUAUUGCGCAAUGGACGAAAGUCUGACGCAGCGACGCCUCGUGAGGGACGAAGGUCUUCGGAUUGUAAACCUCUUUCAGCAGGGACGAAGCGAAAGUGACGGUACCUGCAGAAGAAGCACCGGCUAACUAUGUGCCAGCCGCCGCCGUAA